AACCCAUGGUGAGGACACAUUCUCAAUAAGCCCUUGUAUCUCUCUCAUGCAUCAUAUAAAGUCUUUAAAUCGGUCUGGACAAAAGAAGAGAUGUCAUUCGUCAACUU
rnacentral:snoRNA from 1 species